ensembl:lncRNA LINC00319 long intergenic non-protein coding RNA 319
AAUCGAUUUGAGUGAGCCGGCGUGUCAAUACAGGCCAGCACAGGACUGGCCUCAGGGCCACAUUGGGGAGGGUGGCGACCAGGCCCUGGCUGCAGCCCACGUGGGCAAAAGCAUGGCCAGGCAGGAGGUGGGGCCUGUGAGCUUGGCUACAGCGACCGUGGGCGCUGGGCCCGGGGCUCCUCAGCCCUGAGGGGAGACCCAGGCCCAGGCAGGCUCCCAGGCGGGCUCCCGGGCUCCCAGCCUUCCGAUCUUCUCCCUUUGAGACCUUGCCUUCUGCACAGUGACAGGAAAGAGCCCUGAGUCCCACUUUGCAGGGAUGUAUUGCAUUUCCAGAAAGUUCCUUCCGGGUGCAGAGUGAUACAUGAACCCUGGGGACUCACUCCAACUUGGUAUUGAUUUUCUCCACGGAGGACCCAGCAGUCACGGCCCGUGUCUGCACAGCCCCUUGGAUCCUGCGGAGGAAUUCAGCCGGCCCCUCCCCCUGUGCCGAAAACCACGGAGGCAAAGCCAGGCCAGGUUCAGGUUCCACGCAAAGCGCCCUCCUGUAGCCAAGCCCAGCCCCAUGAGGGUACAGUGAGAACACGGGAGAGGACUGAGAGACCGCUGGCUGCCGAGGGAGGAAGAGCAGGAUUCGCACCCCCGUCAUCGCUGGGCCCACACGCCGCCGACAGCUUCCGCGUGUGGCCAUCUGUCUUUCAGAAACCCUCUGGCAGAGGGACCCAGCAGAUGACACGGGGGCCGUUCACACUCUGAAACCUGCCUGGAGUCAAAACACUGCUGGCGAGCCUCCACCGCAAACCCAAUCCAGAUGGUCUUCCCUGGUGGCCCUCGGGGUGGCGGGCACCCUGCCCACUCCCUGCCAGCCCCUGCCCGCUGGACUCCAGGCCCGGCCGAGCCCCCGACCGGUCUCCUGACCCAGCAUGCUGCUCUCCCCUGGGCCCGGCUUUCUCGCCCGCUGGGACUCCCAGGCCCCUCCAGCCCAGCCCCGAGAGCAGGAGCCCCAAGGGAGGCUUGGCGGCUGUGGAGGCGAGUGGGCCACGUGUAGCUGGGAGGCCGGCAGGACCAGGAGCCCCUCACAGCGCAGCACCCACAGCAUCACGAGCCACUUCCACUCCUGGGUGGCCUGGGGGCCCCCACCCUGCUCUGAGCUGCCCCUUGUUGUGACCUGGGGUCCCCCGUGGUGGGCCCGCCCCUUGAGCCUGGGAUCCAGCCUCAGCGAGGCUCCAGAAGUGUCGUCUCCGCCGGCCAGGCGUCAGCGCCUCCACCCAGGAUCACACACUCCUAUCUCUGCACUUCUGCCCUCCAUCCUGCUCCACGCCGCCUCUGCUUGUUAUUCCAGCACAUUCCAGGGUGAUGCCUGCUGAAGCCACGCAGCCAGUGCCUCCACCCUACCCCCCAUCUGACCCACCGGCCCCUUCCGCACGCUGGAAGCCUGCCCGGCCUGAAGUGUCCUCACCUGUCGCCCUAUCCUCCCCUCCACUCCAGCCCACCGGUGACUCAGCCCUCACAGCUCUCUCCUCCCCGAGGGAGCCGGUGACUUGGCUCUGAUGGUGCCGGGACCCAGCCCCGGCAUGUUCAGAAUCCUUGUCCUUUAACCUGCGUCCACAUGUAGUCGCCUCCACCUCCCUGCCUGAACCUCCAGGCCCUGCAGAGCAAACACUGCUGCCUGCAGGAGACCCCUGGGGCCUUCUCCGUCCCCUCAUCCUCCUAAGGAGCCUCCCCUGCCACCGUGCCAGAAUGUGCCGGAGGAACAGAGGCCCGAGCCUCCCGUGGCCCCAGCGAGGCUUCCUCUGGGGAAGACAGUGAGCCCAACGCCCUGGCUCUCGAGGGGUGGACGGAGUCCAGCUGGCAUCGACCGGGUGCCCCUCUUCACCGGUGUCCACAGUCCUUGAGAGCAAAGGUGGUCCCAGCAGUGGAGCAGAGGGCAAGGGUGGGGCAUGUAGAGUCUCCAGGGAGCCACUGUUGGUUAGAGAGGGAGCCCGAAGUGGGCUCCGGACCCCAGCAGGGACAGCGUCCCCUUCCAGCGGGGGCAGCCGAUUGAUCUGGGCACACGAGCAGGAGGAGCGGCGCCACCCAGGGCUGACCUCACGGCCCUGCUCACGUCUCGGGGCAUUUUGGCAGACCCACCUAGACCUGGGGGACAGCCUGAUUUCCUGCAGCCAUGACCUACAAGGGUGGCAGCUCUCUCAGGCUUGAGUAACCAGGACACAGACCUGGGCCAUUUAAUGCGCAGGCAGCCCCAAGUCCCGGCAGGGCCAGAAGCAGAGACGGCGGCUGGGGAUGAAAGUGCACGCUGGUCCCAGAUGGGGCUGGGGGUGAAAGCUGCAUGCUGAUCCCUGGGCCCCCUCACUCUAUGAGCUCCUGAAAGGAGGGAAGCCCCCACACCCUACUGAGUGGAGUGCUCCUUGGCCUGGGACCCCGUCCAGUGUCUGCUGCUGUGGGGGCGGGCUCUGGGCAGAGAGAGGCCAGACAGGCACCCAGGAAAGCUGGAACACAUCCCUCCUGCUUCCCCCAGGGUUCCCAGAGGCGACCUCCCUCCUGCACAGGCAUUUGUCAUCCUUACCCUCUAGGACAGCUUUGCCAUGUGCAGUGAACCCCUGGACAGUGUUGCGUGCCACUUUGCCGGAUUUGGACUGUAUACAGACCGAAGCAUGUGGCAUGAAGCCUUCUGCUGUCAGCAAGUUCCUUGUCCCUCGACAGUAUGUGCCCAGGCUGCCCUUCAAGGUGGCAGUGAUGGCAGUUGUCUCUUGCACGCUGCGUACAGUUCUGUCACUGACUCUUACACACAGCCCUGGAGACGGGAGAGUGCCGGGAGCAUUCUAUGCAAGUGUCCUGGCCUUUGCGGGCGUCUCCACAGCACAAACACGAGUCAGGGACCACCCCUCUUCUGCUUCCAUGAUUCCACCAACUGGGUGGGGCAGAGCAGUGCCAGGGCCGGAGGCACGCCCCAGGUGAGGGCAGGUGGCCAUGCCAGUGAGUGCACUGCGUUCUCAGUUAAUUCAUCCGAAAUAUUUCUAAGUUUCUUGAUUAUUGCAGUUGCAUCCCCAAGAUAAUGCCGCCCUCACCAAGUAGAAGGCACAUGUGCUCUGAUGGCCCCUCCCACACUGGGGUCAGGGCACAGCAACUUAGCGAGGCGACGUGGGGGCUCAGAGGACCUCGGACCA